GGACACUUUCAGCUGCAAAGCGAUGUUGCAUUCUCUGCACAGCUUGCACACAGGAUUGAUAAAAGUUCAUAAUUUUUUUUGUGAAUAUGAUCAUGGCCUUACUGAAGUGCAAACAACUAAAGAUCAUUAAGGAUGCAUCUACAGCGUAUUGAGAAUAUAUGCCCUACGUUGAGCGUUAUGAUUGUCAUUUCUUCGUGUUACGUGUUCGUGACUGUUACAAUCAUUUCUUCUCUUCCAUGUUGAAGCCCAUCAUUUUGACGAUAGGGGAUGAUUUCGUUCAUAAUAAAUGAAGAGUCAUAGUAGAGAAGAUUAAAACAUGACCCCUUAUCAUCGGAGCACGACUAAAAGUCACAUCCUUUAAUGGUAUAUUAUGUGUUACUAUCUUAUAUUAAACCAACCACCUGGUCACAUUAAUAAUACAUGCACAGACUUUUUAUUACAGGCAUAUCUUUAUUUACUAAAUCUUUGAUCAACUUGACCAUUCCACAGACAGCCACGUUGCGAAACAGGUAUUACUCUUACGCCAUGAAUUAGUUGUCAUUUCUUUUAUACUGAAUGAUAAUCUAUGUUCUUCAAUUGGUAUUCUAGCCUUUGCGUAUGUGCAAUCCCUUAAUAGGUCUCUCUACUACUUAGAAGUCGUGAUUUUUUUCUUUGCCUUGACGUCCUAUCUCUUAUGAGGACAGAACUAUUUGGAGUUUCUGCUAAUUAUCUGCUCGCCGCAUCGCUGGCCUUUUGUCCAUCAUAGCCUCAGUUAAGAAUGAGUUAUUUGUGGGCUUUUUUAUUGUUGAAUAUUUAUUUACCUGGAGCUGGCCACCCGUUUCUUAGAAAUGGAGGGUCAUCAAAUUGAAGAAGAUUUUGCUUCAUUUUUAUGAGCCUUAUUUUUGGGUGACUUCAAUUAUUCCAUAUCUCAUAAUAUACUUGACCAGAUCUUAAUCUGAAUAUUUUUAAGCUCCAGUGUUUUGCUUUUGUCUUGUUUUCUCUGUUUCCUUUCUUGGAUUACUUUGGAUUGCUGAGCUUCUAAUGUUGCUACAUAUUGCCCUUCAUAUUCUCCUUAAAAAUUUCUCUGUUUUUAGUGUUGUUUGAUUAUCUUUUGAAUAUUUAUUUCUCCUUGCUUGCUACCAUGUUCAGUUCAAUGAUGUAAUGACCAUUUAGUAGUUUUUUAGGCAGCAUCCAAAAUGGUCAUUAGUAAUCAAAUCCAGAGAAUAGCUUCUCCAUUAAUUGGUCAACCCUGAUCUACUCUUCUUCUCAUUAAUUCAGACUGUCAAUUUGUUUAUAGUCUUUGUUUGAUGUCAUUUGAAUUUACCUAUGACAAUAUUAGGAAACCUUUCCCUUGCUUGAUGCCAUUAUACCUUUAAAUAUUGAGUGAAUGAUUCAAUGAAGAACUUUAACAAUGCAUUUUUCAAAUUUCUUUGAGGUCAUCAAAUCCACUUUAGACUUGCUCUGUUGUCUAGUGAUGGUUCCCAGGUGGUGGUUUGACUUGUAAAUCGAUGUCUAAUCUCAGCAAUGUUGUGCUUGGUGUGUUCUUGUUAACACUUACCAUUAACUUGUGUAGUUUCAACUUUGAUGCGUUGCGCUGUUUGUUAACGUGUCUUGCUUCUUAGUUUCCUUUUGUUAAGAACAUGAUUGCAUCUGCUUAUGAUCUUCCUUCACUAUGUAUUCUUUAUUUUUCAUCAACUGGAAGAUAGCUUCGUAUGUGCGCCUCUAUGGAAACAUUCAUACUAUUUCUCCUGGUCGAUGAAAUCUCAUUUUAGAGUAUAUCCUUAUUGGACUUGUGAAAAAAUUUCCUUGAGCAUUUUAGCAUAAGCUGGGUUUUGCCAUCAGGAAAUCCUUGAAAAUUUUUAUGAGGCAUUCGAGCAAUUUCUCUCCAUUCUUUCUUGUGAAGCUCCCAGAUACCAAAUCCCCUUGAUACUAUCCAGCCCAUCAUACUUUUCGAUACCACCCACCACCACAAUUUCAUCUUUUAAGUUCAUUAACCAGCCACAACUAAGAGGACAAGGGUUUGAAUCAAAGUUUGCUGAAUUGAAAUGAGGCAAUCUUUAAGGGAGGUCACCUACAACUGAGUCUCAGACUCAUAUAUGAAAACAGGUAACUCCCAUCUUAGAUAAUCACCAGGAACUUGCUUAGAUUUUGCCAUAGCAACGUUAUAUGUAUGAUUUUCUCUGUCCACAGAAGUGGCAAUAGAGGUGUUUAAUGAAAUGUCCAAGAGAAGUUUAGUUUUGUGCAUCGCCACGAUCUUAGCCCACUGUUAUACCUUCCUACGCACUCCGGUUGCUCCUCGCCAUUCUAUAUUGUUGCCAACACCCAACGUAAUGCAUCUACCCCUCAAAUUAGAAAUCAUUCGUCAAUGCAUACUAACUUUUUGACCAAAUACCUAAGAGAAUCCCCACUCUUAGCAUUCGAUCAUAUCUUUGCAUUGCUAUCACAUUGCAACCCAAACGACAAAUCAACUACAGCCUACAAUAUGAUGUACAAAGUAGUAUCCAAUGUAUCGUGUUGUAUAAAAUUUUCUAUAUCAUGUAUAUAUAGAUGAUUGUGUGUAUAUUGUAUCAAAUGCACUAUCCAAUGUAUCAUGUUGUGUCAAAAUUUAUUAGUGUAUCUAGUGGAAAUGUAUCUAGUAGAAAUGUAUACAAAGUACACAUUAUAAAAAAUGCAUCAGAUUUUACUGUAGCAAAAAAUUAUUGACUCAAAAUUUUUUGCAUCUCCAAAAGACAAUACAGAGAUAUAUUUUAGCAAUAAAAAGCUACACUUCUGCUAUAAAGAGCUAUACAACUAUAUAAGGAGCUAUAUUUUACAAAUAAAGAGAUAUAUUUUAGGUUUAAAGAGAUAUACCUUAGGCAUAAAGAGCUAUAUCAUUGUAUAAAGAGCUAUAUUUUUAUUAUAAGAUGCUACACUUCCGUAUAAAGAGCUACACUUUCCCCAAAAACUGUAUAAACAAUAGUGGACAUGUCAGUUAUACAAAGAAUUGUUCAAACAACUCAUUGUAUACAUAAUCACACAUUUACAUUGUUCAGAAAAAAACUGAUUCGAUUUAUUUUUAGUUUCAGAAUUUUCAGAGAUAUAAAGAGAUAUACUUUACAUUAAAGAGCUAUACUUUAGGUAUAAAGAGCUAUACUAAUGUAUGAAGAGCUGCACUUUUAGCAUAAUUAGCUACGCUCCCAGCAUAGUGAGCUACACUUUUCCAAAUAUUGUAUCACUGAGAGUGGAGAUGUCAGUUAUAUAAAGAAUCGAUCAAACAUUGUAUUGUACAUAUCAUCAUACAUUUACAUUGUUCAGAAAAAUACUGACCAAUUUUUUUUAGUUUUAAAAAUUUUAGAGAUAAUAAAGAGCUAUAUUAGCAUUAAAGAGCUUCACUUCCAGCAUAAAGAGCUGAUUUUUUCUCAUCGAACCUUAGAUACGAUGGUCAAAUCUGAUUUCUUUCUCGGCCACGAGGAUAACAUGUUGUGGGUUGUGUGCUCGUGGUUCCCAUGGUGCAUGUGGCUCACCUAAUCCUUGCCGGCGACGCCCUUGAUCAGGCUCACACUCACGCUGAUGUUGUUUUUCCUUCCUCUUGGAAUUGAGAAUCACCUCUUAGAGCUAUGAAAUGAUGGAGAGAGAGGGGGGAGAAGAGAGAGCGAGCAAUUGUAUUUGGGGAUGAAGGGUAUAGUAUAUGAAUUUUUUAUUUAUUGGAGAAAUACGAUAUACAAAAUGAGGGUAUUAUACAAACUGUGUUUAAAAAUAAGUGGGAUGAGAUACUUUGGAUUUAUGAAUGUUUAUAUAAGUGAAUGAGUUUUUUAAUAAGUGAGGGUAAAUUUUUGGGCUAAAAGAGAAAAACCCCUCUUAUUUAUAAAGACUAAGUGCCAUUGCAAUUAGUAAAGCAUUGUUGUGUGGAUCCUAGAAUACACUCUGUUUCAAGCUUGUAUUUGUUCUAUUCUAUAUUUCAACAAAUCAAUCAAUCAAUCAAACAUGUUGUUUCAAAUGCAAUGAAUGUAUAGAGAAAAAGAUUUUAGCAACGUUAGGGAACUGAACCCACAUAUAUUUUUACUUUUCAUGACAG